rnacentral:ncRNA from 1 species
UAGCCUUCUCGCUUUCGAGGUUCUUCCCGGCGCGCUGCCGGGAAGCUAAGAGGGAACAGGGUGAUGCCCUGGCUGUCCCCGCAACUGUGAAUGGCCUUAAACCCUUCGAGACACCACUGCCUUUGGCGGGAAGGUGAAGGAUGCACGAGCGUGCAGGCCGUGAGCCAGGAGACCUGCCUCGAUCAACAGCCAUUUU